UACGGGGGGGGCAAGCGUUGUUCGGAAUUACUGGGCGUAAAGAGCUCGUAGGUGGUUUGUCGCGUUGUUCGUGAAAACUCACAACUCAAUUGUGGGCGUGCGGGCGAUACGGGCAGACUGGAGUACUGCAGGGGAGACUGGAAUUCCUGGUGUAGCGGUGGAAUGCGCAGAUAUCGAGAGGAACACCUGCGGCGAAGGCGGGUUGCUGGGCCGACACUGGACGCUGAUGCGCGAAAGCCAGGGGAGCGAACGGG
rnacentral:rRNA from 1 species